rnacentral:rRNA from 1 species
CGCGUGAGAAUCUGGCUUUAGGUUCGGGACAACAGUGGGAAACUGCUGCUAAUACCGAAUGUGCCGCAGGGUGAAAGAUUAAUUGCCUGAAGAAGAGCUCGCGUCUGAUUAGCUAGUUGGUGAGGUAAAGGCUCACCAAGGCGACGAUCAGUAACUGGUCUGAGAGGAUGACCAGUCACACUGGGACUGAGACACGGCCCAGACUCCUACGGGAGGCAGCAGUGGGGAAUUUUCCGCAAUGGGCGAAAGCCUGACGGAGCAAUACCGCGUGAGGGAGGAAGGCUCUUGGGUUGUAAACCU